UAGUACAAAGUUGAGUCAUC
rnacentral:miRNA from 1 species